UUUCUGUUGCACAGGGGAGCGUCAGUGUUAUGGAAGAGCUCUUUGAUAAGUUCAUGCACUCGUUCUGUGAAUCUGUGCAAGAUCAGCUGAAGUCGCUGGAUGUGUUACGGUAACGUCCUCACUGACACCACAGUAGUGAUCGCGUAAACAGAAGAUGCCUGCAGUGUUGGGAAGGUUAUUUUGGAAAUGUAGCAGUGUAACUAUAGCUGUUACUAUAUUAAAGUAAUGUAACUGAUUACAUUUGAUUACUUUUCUAAAUUCUACUUCACUUUUUUACUUUUCUAACGAAUGUUUUCAACUGUUAAUUAUUUGGCAAACGGUAGUACUCACCUCUGAUUACUGUCAGACUUUCAAAAUCCAUCAUCACUUGAAUUAGUAUUAUAAUAAUUUCAUUUUAAAGCACAGCCACCACAAAACCAGGCUUUACCACCUCUUUUUACUCUUGAGAUCAUUCUGAGGUUAAAUACCGAUUUAAAAUCAUAAUAAGAAAUAGCAAUGAUACUAUUUUUGAAAUCGAAUCUUUGCAUAGCUAUGACUGGAAACACUGGCAUCUAACAAUGUCUAGGGAAAAAAAGGUUAAUCUUAAGAAAUAAAGCAUAUACAUAAACCCAAAAAGGAAAUAAAACCGUUAUUGUAUAAGCAUUUGUCCGUAAACUCCUGAAACAUUGCAGUCACAUAUAUAGCAGUCAAUGCAAUUUGGAAAAGAAAUCAGUUAAAUCAAAUUCUUCUGGUUUUUCUCAGGCUCUAAAAUAGUUUAAAAAAUUGUGGAAAAUCCAGUUCUGUACAUAGGAUUUAUUGUUUUUCCAUGACAGAUCAUUCUGUUCCUGUGUUAUGGCAUGUGCACCAAGUAUAUUUCACUCAUACUUGCUCUUCUGUUAGCAGUAUUAGUGUCGUAAGAUCUGAUGUUUAUGAUUUCAGCCAUAUUCUUGGUGUUCCUACACAAGACUUGCUGAGAGUUCCAGCUCUCAAAGAUGAUCUUCAGGACAAGAUCAGAGCUCAGCUGCCGUACCUGCAUCUCCUGCACUGUUUCUGGCAGUCUACCUACGGCGUUGUGAGAGAGGCCAUUGAUGCGUUUGAGAAAGCUUUGGGAACGAUUACAAAGCUGGAGUUAAUUCACACCCUCUGGCUAGAGUAAGUAAAUUGUACAGUUGUGAAACCUAACUUAUUAUCAGUUGUUAUGUGUUUAUUACCACAGCAUUAAAUCAUCGAGUAGAUAUCAUGUUAAUCUGUGUGUCAUCCUCGCUGGGUGCAGAUAGUCGUGGUGUUUUCUCUCUUAACGGUUAGUCUCUUUUCCCCAGCUAUCUGUCCUUCGCCAGCAGUAAGAUGUUGGCGCCGCAGCCGAGUGUUCGCGAGCUGAAGAUGUUUACAGGUCUGGUGCACCGCUGUCUGGAGACUGUGCCGAGCAGACUCACCCUGCCCUUUAGCUCCUCACAAUACUGGAGCUGCUUCAACUUCCAUAACAAGGUAUGUCAUGAUGAAGCCUUAAAGCAGUCCUUCAUAUUUUUCAGCUCAUACUUUCAGCUUUCACCCUGAUGAUUUCAUGUAAAGCUUACGGACAGUGUAGAUGUAGUGUGUUUGCAUUUUGUGCUGUGUGCAUUGCAGGUCGUAUCCUUCUAUUUGGGUUGUUUCCCUCAAUCCCAACAUUCCCUUAUCCUGGAAAGACUUCAGCAUAUCAUGCCAACCAAUACUGAACUGGCCAUAAGGUAAACCAGGAGACUUGCUUGGAUUUAUUCUGAUGCUAAAUUAAGCUCAUGAAGAGCGCCAGUAUUUCCAAUUAUAUUUCUGAAUCUUUCCCUGCGAUUUGCCACAGUUUGUCUUUUUGUUACUCUAUACAGUGUAAAUAUUUCUCGUGCAUAAUUGUAAUCGUUGCCUGGCUCACUGAAGCUGUAAAAGUCUGUCGUCUCUAUAAUGGGGAAAUAUGUGAUUCUUUAACUUCUUUAGUAGGUGGCACUGGAUACAGUCACAGCUUCUAAAGACACUUUAAUGUCCUCGAGUUUAGUCUCAUUUGUCGUUGUGUAGGUUGCUGCAGCAAGAAUGGCAGGAUGGCAAUGUUGAACAUUUUAAAUUGCAAAGCAGAAUGUUGUGCUGUAGCGUCCCAACCUGUCUGGCCAUCUGGAAAAUGUAAGUUCAUGAGCUCCAAAUAUAUCAAGCUAAUCUGUUUCUGUGUGUCCGAAUGAGAUGAUAUUCUAAAGCUCUUAUGGUGUAGCUCUCCACUUCUUUUGCGUAGCUUGUUUUGAUGAAGAUAAGGCAUUCUGCGUCUAAAAUUUGGUCUUAUCCAGAACAUAAAAGAUUUUACUGUCCAGAUGUGCAAAAGUGUAAGGCGCAAAGACGUGCAGUUCUUCCUGUUGAACUUACCCUGGGGGUUCAAAUACAUUUGCAUGUCGUUCUUUUGACACGCAUCUUCAGUUUUGUAGUGGAUGGUGAAUGUGAUGUCCAUUGAUUUGGAAGCAGAAAUGAGGUGAAGUGUUUGACACCCUCUGUCGAUAUAUUUCUUGCCAGAGCUAUUGCUGUUGAGAAGGAGCAAAGGCAAAGAGCAGAGGUGAGUGAGAGGUCAGAGGUCAGGUCAUGACUUUCACAGUGGCCGAUGUCUCAAGUUUUUCUGCUUUCAUUCUGUCGAAUCUGUUGUUUUUUUUCUGCAGGGUAUGCUCAGUGCACGAAUAUGUAAGAGUUUAGAUGGCAUACCUCUGAUGAAGACCAAUGAGUGUGCUUUUGUGUGUUUGAGGAGGAGUCUGAAUGUUUGCGGUUGUGAAGAUUUGCGUGUGUCCGACUGAACUGACUGUGUGUUCCCGCUCUGGUGUGUUUGUGCUUUUAUCUGCACAUUUGCAGGUCCAGCGGCUGUAUCAGCAGGCGCUCCAGAAACUGCCUCUGUCUGCUGCUCUCUGGAAAGAUGUAAACAGCCUCUUUACCUCAAAUAUUCACUCCAGUGUCUUUCGCUUUGGACGCUGUCCUCACCAGUCCUUUUCUCUUUCCCUUUCUAGUGUUUGCUCUUUGAGGCUGCUGAAGGAGGUAAAACUGACACACUGAAAAAAAUAAUUGACAAGUGCCAAGAGGUGGGAGUGAGUCUAAAUGAGCCGCUAGGGUUAGAGCCGAGCCAAGCCGAGUGACACGAGCAGCACAUUCCCAGAACAAGAGUACGUGCUUCCAUUAAACCUCUACAGACAAGCAGACACGCACGCGUCUUAGCUUAGACCCGAGUCAGUAUUACUAGCAGAAAUCCAGUGAGGACACAAUGAGCUACCCAUAAUCCAGUAUGUGGGCCUCUUUUAUCAUCAUGUACGUAAGUAUGAAAAUGUUGACGAUGCCUGUUGCUUCCUGUUGUUUUUGAUUUGUGUGUUCCCAUUUGUACACUAACUUUUUUUAAUUUUAUUUUUAUUUUUCUUUAACGUUGCGUCAUAGUUGUUGACGGACUAUGACUGUUUUUAAGGUGGCUUGCUUCCUUCCUCUAAAUAUACAUCAGUUUAUUUUGUUUCUCAUGGUGUCUCAACCAUGUCUCGUGAAGAAUGACAUUAACUCAGCUUGAGAGUUUAAGGGCUCCGCACCAAGGUUUUUUUUUUUUUUUCUUUCUUUCUUUUUUUCUUCUUUUUUCUUUCUUUUUCUUUUUUUUUCUACUCCCCCUCCAACCAUGGAUUGAAAUGGCUGUUAUUGGAAGUAUUCUGUUUGGCUCACCGGUGUCAGAGUAUUGAUGGAAACUUCUCCACAGACUGCCAAAUCUCGCCGACACUCAAUAUGUCUGUAGUCGUGGACUGCACCAAAAGACAUCAUUAAACUGUUCAUGUAAUAUUGUUUCUUCACAAAUUAAAACAAAAUCCAUGUGUGUAUGUUUGUGUGUGUGUGUGUGUGUGUGUGUGAGUAUGCACACACAUACACACACACGCAUGUUGAUUAACGUAUUCUGCAGGAUUGAUACUGACACCUGUUUGUUUUUUCUUUCAAUUUAUAAUUGAACAAUGUUUCUAUUAAAUUAUUUUGUACAGAAAUACAGUGUUGCGUGUUAAUUUGGGGGGCGGGUU
rnacentral:lncRNA from 1 species